rnacentral:lncRNA from 1 species
AUGAACUAAUAUUUUUUGCCAGUUUCCCCAUUGCAGUUUACAUCUCAACAUUUCAUCCAAUUUUAUGUUAAAUCAUUAAAAAAAGAUUUGGAAAAAAAAAAAAAAAAAAAGAUAACACAAAACUCAGUUUUUUUUCCUUCCCCCUCCCCUCUGGUUUUUUUCUCCCCCUCCUCCUCUGCCCGAUGCUUUUCCUGAGGCAAACCAUCCCCACCCCCCACUCACCUCCUCCCACCUCCUUCUCCCUCUCUCGUCGCCCUAUUCGCUUAGGCUUUAGGAUUUUGAUCUUCUUUUUUGUUUUUCUUCCUUUUGUUCUCUACAAAGUGUGUCUCCCUCUCUCUCUUCUCUCUUCCCCCUUCUCUCUCUCUUCACAGACAUCAGCACCACCCACCCUUCACCCGCCCCCUCCUCCUUCUGUCUCCCUCUUUCUUCGACAUCCACAACCUCACUUCCCAGAACACCCAAACAGUCACCCAAAAAAAAAAUUAUUCAAGAUCAAAUCCCUAAAUAGCCAUCCAAAAAAUUUCAAGAUCCUUAUUAUUAACCUCACCUUACUCCCUAGGAAACCCAAAUAGCCAAACAGCCACCAAAGAUAAAAAAAAAUUCAAGAUCCAAAUCCUAAACAGCCACCCAAAAAAUCUCGAGAUAUUUAUUAUUAAAUUUAGUUUUCCUCUUCGUAACCUUGGCAGGGGAAGAGAGAGACGCAAAAAGAGAGUGGGAGGGAGAAAAAGGAGGGGGUGGGCACAUGGGGGGAGAAGAGACAGAGGGUGGAGGAUGGUGAUGUUGGUGGAUGUUGAAGAGGAGGGAGAAAGAGAUCGAAGAGAGGGUGGUGAUUUUGGUGGCUGUCAAACAGAGGGUGAAUAUAUCAUUAUUAUUUCAAUUUUUAAUUUUUUUAAUUUUUAAUCCUAUAUUUAUUAUUUUUAAUGUUUGAAAUGACUCUCAUAUUUAACGGUAAAUUGGAUGAAAUGUUGAGGAUUUAGACGAUAGAGGGAAAAUUCGAGGGAAAAAAAAGGUUCAUAUCCUUAAUUUUAAAAAAAAAAAGGAUAUGGGGAUAAUCGAAAAUUAAGUACUAAGUUCAGGGGAUUCAUAUCAGGUUUAUAAGGUCAGGCUUUCGAGAGUGGUGGACACCAGUUGCUUUGUUAGUGGUGCUAAGGAUGUGGUGAAGAGGGAUCAGGAAGUUUAUGUGAAGGUGAUUUCAAUUUCAGGUCAGAAGUUGAGCCUUUCGAUGAGGGAUGUUGAUCAACAUACAGGGAAGGAUUUGCUCCCCUUGAAGAAGAGCUCAGAGAAUGAUGCUCUUAGAUGAAGCCAUUUUUUUCAAAGGAUGGACCUGUGACUAGGACUGGUCUUUCUGGGAUUAGGAUUGUGGAAAAGGAUGAUUUUGGCCCAUCACAGCGGCCAUUGAAGAGAACGAGCUCGCCAGAGAAGUGGGAAGCCAAACAGUUGAUUGCCUCAGGUGUUUUGGGUGUUACAGAGUAUCCUAUGUAUGAUGAGGAAACCGAUGGGAUGCUUUAUCAAGAAGAGGGAGCUGAGGAAGAGCUUGACAUUGAGCUCAAUGAGGACGAGCCAGCCUUUUUAAACGGACAGAGCAGGUAUUCUGUUGAUAUGUCACCUGUGAAAAUCUUCAAGAACCCAGAAGGGUCACUAGGUCGUGCAGCUGCACUUCAGUCCGCACUCAUUAAGGAGCGUAGAGAAGUGCGUGAGCAGCAGCAAAGAACCAUGUCGGAUUCUAUCCCAAAGGAUCUCAAUCGUCCCUGGGAAGAUCCAAUGCCAGAGACUGGUGAGAGGCAUCUUGCACAAGAACUUAGAGGUGUUGGUUUAUCGGCAUAUGAUAUGCCUGAGUGGAAGAAGGAUGCUUUUGGGAAAACCAUCAGUUUUGGGCAGAGGUCAAAACUCUCAAUCCAGGAACAGAGGCAGAGCUUGCCUAUCUACAAGCUGAAGAAAGAAUUGAUUGCAGCGGUGCAUGAGAACCAAGUGCUUGUCGUCAUUGGUGAGACUGGUUCGGGUAAGACAACACAGGUAACACAGUAUCUUGCAGCAGUGGGUUACACGACAAUGGGUAAGAUUGAUUGUACACAGCCACGUAGGGUGGCUGCCAUGUCUGUGGCCAAGAGGGUUGCUGAAGAGUUUGGUUGUCGUUUAGGAGAGGAAGUCGGCUAUGCAAUUCGUUUUGAGGAUUGCACUGGUCCCGAUACUGUCAUCAAGUACAUGACUGAUGGUAUGCUUCUUCGGGAGAUUUUGAUUGACGAGAACCUUUCUCAGUAUUCUGUGGUCAUGCUUGAUGAAGCUCAUGAGAGGACAAUCCACACAGAU